UGUGUAUCUGUGUUUGUAUGUGCCAGUGUGUGUAUCACACCUUGACACACAGAUACACACACCGGCACAUACACACACAGAUGCACACA